rnacentral:miRNA from 1 species
GAGAGAGAGAGAGAGAGAGAGAGAGAGAGAGAGAGAGAGAGAUGGUUUGGAUGUGAGGUGUCCCCAAAAGCUCAUGGGUAAGACAAUGCAAGAAAUCUUAGAGAUGAAAUAAUUGGGUUAUGAGAACCUAAACCUAAUCAGUGCUUUAAUACCCUGAUAGGGAUUAAUGCAGGAGGUGAGUCCCUGGGGGUAUGCCUUUGGGGUUUAUAUUUUGUCCUUAUUUCUCUCUCUCUCUCUCUCUCUCUCUCUCUCUCCCCCCCCCCCCCCCCCC